GGCUCAGAUUGAACGCUGGCGGCAUGCCUUACACAUGCAAGUCGAACGGCAGCACGGGGCAACCUGGUGGCGAGUGGCGAACGGGUGAGUAAUGCAUCGGAACGUGCCAUUGAGUGGGGGAUAACGUAGCGAAAGUUGCGCUAAUACCGCAUAUUCUGUGAGCAGGAAAGCAGGGGACCGCAAGGCCUUGCGCUCUUUGAGCGGCCGAUGUCAGAUUAGCUAGUUGGUGAGGUAACGGCUUACCAAGGCGACGAUCUGUAGCGGGUCUGAGAGGAUGAUCCGCCACACUGGAACUGAGACACGGUCCAGACUCCUACGGGAGGCAGCAGUGGGGAAUUUUGGACAAUGGGCGCAAGCCUGAUCCAGCCAUGCCGCGUGAGUGAAGAAGGCCUUCGGGUUGUAAAGCUCUUUCGGCCGGGAAGAAAUCGCAUGGGUUAAUACCCUGUGUGGAUGACGGUACCGGAAUAAGAAGCACCGGCUAACUACGUG
rnacentral:rRNA from 1 species